GGGGCAGUGGUGCUGUGGUUCACACUGUUGCAUCGAAAGUAGGAAGUUCUGGGUUCAAGUCUCAGCUGGUUCC
rnacentral:tRNA from 1 species